rnacentral:rRNA from 1 species
AUUGAACGCUGGCGGCAGGCUUAACACAUGCAAGUCGAGCGGAGAUGAGGUGCUUGCACCUUAUCUUAGCGGCGGACGGGUGAGUAAUGCUUAGGAAUCUGCCUAUUAGUGGGGGACAACAUUCCGAAAGGAAUGCUAAUACCGCAUACGUCCUACGGGAGAAAGCAGGGGAUCUUCGGACCUUGCGCUAAUAGAUGAGCCUAAGUCGGAUUAGCUAGUUGGUGGGGUAAAGGCCUACCAAGGCGACGAUCUGUAGCGGGUCUGAGAGGAUGAUCCGCCACACUGGGACUGAGACACGGCCCAGACUCCUACGGGAGGCAGCAGUGGGGAAUAUUGGACAAUGGGGGAAACCCUGAUCCAGCCAUGCCGCGUGUGUGAAGAAGGCCUUAUGGUUGUAAAGCACUUUAAGCGAGGAGGGGGCUCUUUUGGUUAAUACCCAAGAUGAGUGGACGUUACUCGCAGAAUAAGCACCGGCUAACUCUGUGCCAGCCGCCGCCGUAA